rnacentral:rRNA from 1 species
UCCGUAGGCGGACUAAUAAGUCAGUGGUGAAAUCUCUCGGCUCAACCGGGAAACUGCCAUUGAUACUGUUAGUCUUGAGUUCGGUUGAGGUAGGCGGAAUGUGUAAUGUAGCGGUGAAAUGCUUAGAUAUUACACAGAACACCAAUUGCGUAGGCAGCUUACUAGACCGACACUGACGCUGAGGCACGAAAGCGUGGGUAGCGAACAGGAUUAGAUACCCUGGUAGUCC